CAAAAAGAGAUUCCAGUUUCUGUUUGUCAUUACCAGUUUCAUGGCAAUUGUUAAUAGGGUUGAAACUGGAAAAAGGAUUGCACACCAUCAUGCCUUGGCCAAAUUUCAUCUCCAGUAACUGUAUUGAACCACCUUAAUAUCUUCCUGUGGUUUCCAUUAUUGAUCAUAUUGCUAUGUUUUAUUGCCCUUGCUGUGUUUUCCUCAAGAUGUACUGCCUUUUGCUGGUUCACAGCCAGCAAAUUCCUCGUUCACAUCAACAUGAAACAUUUCUUCCAACUGUGGAUAUUCAUUCAGAUCAGCCUACAGGAACGAGUUCCUAAGCUGGACAAAAUACACUUAAAUUUCUUUGAAAUACUGCAGUCUGAAAAAUUCUUUUUCUUUGAUUAUAUAAAGUUGCUGUCUCCUCUAGCAGCACAAUAGGAGAGGAU
rnacentral:lncRNA from 1 species